rnacentral:rRNA from 1 species
CCCUUAGAUAUUCUGGGCCGCACGCGCGCUACACUGAUGCAUUCAACGAGUCUAAAACCUGCUCUGAUAGGGGUGGGUAAUCUUUUGAAUGUGCAUCGUGAUUGGGAUAGAUGAUUGCAAUUUUUCAUCUUCAACGAGGAAUGCCUAGUAAACGCAAGUCAUCAGCUUGCAUUGAUUACGUCCCUGCCCUUUGUACACACCGCCCGUCGCUCCUACCGAUUGAAUGAUCCGAUGAAUAUCAUGGAUUGAGGAUGCAAGUAGGUUCGCCUAUCUUCAUCUUCGAGAAGUGAAGUAAAUCUUAUCAUUUAGAGGAAGGAGAAGUCGUAACA